rnacentral:rRNA from 1 species
UGGGGAAUAUUGCACAAUGGAGGAAACUCUGAUGCAGCGACGCCGCGUGAAUGAUGAAGGCCUUCGGGUCGUAAAAUUCUGUCCUUGGGGAAGAUAAUGACGGUACCCAAGGAGGAAGCCCCGGCUAACUACGUGCCAGCAGCCGCGGUAAUACGUAGGGGGCGAGCGUUGUCCGGAAUUAUUGGGCGUAAAGGGUUCGCAGGCGGUCUGAUAAGUCAGAUGUGAAAGGCUAUGGCUCAACCAUAGCAAGCAUUUGAAACUGUCAGACUUGAGUUAAGGAGAGGAAAGUGGAAUUCCUAGUGUAGCGGUGAAAUGCGUAGAUAUUAGGAGGAAUACCAGUGGCGAAGGCGACUUUCUGGACUUAUACUGACGCUGAGGAACGAAAGCGUGGGGAGCAAACAG